UAUCCGGAUCCUUUUUAAGCACCCUGGAUCAUUUUUUUUUUUAAUUUUUGGUAUUGUAAAUAUGUGGGCCUUUGGGAACACAGUUAAAUGAAUACAAUGUGGGGACUGCUCUAUACCUACCGAACACAGAGAGGAUAAAACGUCUCAAUUAGUAUGCAGGCUGGGGGUGGGGCGCUUAAUCGGUGGACACAGGAACUUGUGAAACAGCUUGACAAUAAGAUCUUGGAGAAAACAAAGGCAUUUGGAAGGAAAACAUUGUUUGAAUGUCAUUUCAAAGUUAAUUUAAUUAACGAAGGCAUAUCUGCUGGAGUUGGAAUGGGAUUGCCCAAGGAGAGAGAUUUUAUUUAUAUUUAGCAAUAAACCUCCGGGUGGAAAAUGCUUUAGAAAUUUACUGUGACAUGUGAAUCCAACUUCUUUUUCAUCAGACAGUCGGUCCUUGGAGCACCUGAUGAGUCACUGUCAGGCCUGGUGAAACCUAUGUUCUUGUUUAAGAACAUUUCUUACCAAUUAGGAAGUUGUGUGAUUUGGGAAUUUAAAGCCCAGAGGAUGCUCCCCAGAGAGGACUAUGGCUUCUAUUCUGGUUUUAAUGCCAACCUCUGACUCACUGCCCUGUCCCAAAGUGCCUGAAUGAAACUUGCCUGAAAAAUCAUUAUUGAAUUAAUGAAGGUGACAAAGGUAAGAGCGGUCCUGUGGGUUCUUCAUGUCUGGUCUGUUGCCAACACGGUGUGAUCUGAGCCGGAGAGCCCCCUGUCAACCCCAAGCCAAGCUUCAGCAGCCUUCCCCCCUCCCUCCCCCAGGCCAGGCGCGCUCAAAUGCCACAACACAAAGCACAGGCUCAAACUCCUCUCUCUUUCUGUCCCGCCUGUGCUCACGGAGAGCAAAGUUGGUGGGUUUUAUUUAUCUGUUUAGUCAAGCAAGCGGUAACGUCCCACGCCAGUUCUUCAGCUUUUCAAAAUCAGAUUUUGGAAACAAAUGCUUUUCCAAAUAGAAGAUAAAAAUGGACCCAGCAGUUUUGUUGUUGUUAAUCACUCUAGCUGUGGAUACUUUCCUGGUUAUCCAACAAACAUGUUAAAUUCAAUGGGGGGAAGAAAUUUGUCUAUGCCUUCAAAUAGUUUAUAAUCUAGUUGGUCUGGUCAGGGUGUGAUUGUCACGGUAGGUUAUGGGAGGCAGGAUCUAAUAAAUGUCCUUGGGGAAGAACAAACAAAAUGUGAGGGGAAUUCAGUCAAGAAAGGAAUUGAACCAUGUUGUGGGAUUAGGAAAAUGAAAGAAAAAUUCCAUUGUGCAUAAAAUACAUCUCAUCUACUUACAUGUUAUCCUGGAUUUUUUUUAGGGUACUAUUUUUUUUUAACUUUUAUCCCACCUCUGAUAUUCAUUCUGCCCUUGUGCCUUAUAUCUUUUCCUUUCAUUUGUUAGCUUCUUUCUUCCCCAGUGGUUUUGCCUGCUAAAAAUAGAUGAACAAUUGGUCUGAAGCUGCAAGGGAGCCAAGAUGAUGCAAAGGCUGUAGAAAAUCUAUGCCAUGGACCAUGAGCUGUGAGCUGACCUAGAUGCAAGAUGACCUAGGACAACAAAAUGUCUAAAUCAUUGUUCCAAGGACACGGCAAUAAACAUAUUUUCCAAAUGUGUUGGAGUAUGAGGUCAGAAAAGAAUUUUGGACUUGUGAACUUAUUAAAUAAAAAUUCUCAUUGAGAAGUAAACAUUAAAUCACAUUGUGCAUGCAUAUUCCGAAACUGUUAUUGAAAGCAAUGAAACAACCCAAAAUUAAGAUGAUCAAAGAAAAUCUUGGGCUUUGGGCAUUAUUUCUUCAUUGAUGAAACCGUAAAACAAAUGUAUAGGAAGCCCCUGUGGUGCUGCCCGCCUGCUACCCCAGCCCCAGGUCAUCAUUAUCCACUGUUGUCUACUCCUGCACACAGUCCUUCCUGCCUAACAAGUGUGAGGAGAGUAUGACCUGAGCCUUUCAGAUGUUUCAGCUGUUCUUCACCUCCACAUCUUAGCCUCAGUGAGCUCUUCUUGUGUGAUGGUUGGUUAAUUCUCAUCAUAACUGUAGGGAAGGAAAAUAAUCUUUCUCUAUCCCCUUAGGUUUGUACCUGGGACCUGCAAAUUAAAUUCACAAAGACAAGUUAACAGGAGGAAAAACAAACAAUAUUAAUUGACGUUAAUUUUUUUUUUUUACAGGUGCACAGGGACUUCACAGAAAAGAAAUGAAAACCCAAAGAAGUAGUUAGACCCGGGGGCUUACAUGCCAUUUUAACAAAGGACAAUAAAUUGUCAAGAAGUGACUAGACAAGAGAAAGGGGCUUUGGGCUUCUUGGAGCUGAUAAAUUAUGGGAAGGGCCCCUUUGGAUGCCACCCUGAGUCUGAGCCGCGUCCUCUCCAGACCUGGGUGUCAUUUGGUGCAAUGAAAACGGACACAUGCUUUGGGGCUGACGAAUGUGGUUUUCAAUGUGGGCUCUGCCAUCUAGCAGCUGGGAACUCUGGCAACACUGUAAGAUCUGCUCUUGGAUCUUGACAAAACUUCUAGUCCUCAGGCCAGAGUCGAGCACAGAAAGCUUGGAAUGGAGAUCUGUUAAUUUAUUGAUUGUUCUGACUGUGCUCAGAAGAAACACCACAAGCCCUCCCAUCUCUCCACCCUGCACUCCCCAGCCUCUGUUCCAUCUGUGCUCUUCACGUUGUUGCAAACACUACCUGCUCUACCACACUACCACUGCUGCCGGCUCCUCUGGCCACCGUUUCCUGCUCCUUUUAUGUGGUUUUGAUGUUUGCUGCUGGUACCCAGGGCUGCAGCUCACUUCUUUAGAAAGACCCAUCCAGAGCCUCAGCCUCUGACUAGUCUGCCCCCCACCCCCACAACUGCCCCGAGGCGUCCUCUGCUCCGUGCACAGUCCAGGAGCACCAGGCGCUUUCCAGCCCUGUCCCAAACCCGCAGAUCUCAUCUUCUCAUGUUCUUUGCGGGGAACUUCUGACCAAACUAACUGCUUCCGCCCAACUGAAACUCACAAGGGCGGUCACACUGAAAGGCGCUGAUGUGUCUAGAUGACUAUUCAGAACAGAACCCAAGCGAAAGGGUACACUUCCUGGCCUGAGGCAUAAACACCGCAUAUAUUUUUCCCUUUCGGAGGGCUAUUUUUCACGCUUGAAAUGAAGUGUGGUCAGAAUGUAUUCUCAUCUAGAAUCUUAGGUCAGUCAGGCAGAGGUUUGUCCUUCUCGUGUUUUAUACAUGUGCAUAAAAAUAGAAUAAACAAAGCCUGCUGUUCAAUACAUAUUUUACACAUAUGUCAGAGAUGCAAUUCUAGAGCAGACUGCUUUGGGGGUGUUUGUGGUUGGUUUAAGGGUCAUGAAAAACACAGAAGAAAUCCUUUCUAAAAAUGAUCAGGAUUUCCACUUGGAAGUUAUCAAGUUUGAAGAAUAAUAAACCACAGAAUGCUAAAAAUGUAGGGUGUUUUUUUUUUUCGGUCUUAUUUAUGAGGGCUCCUGUUUUUGUGCCUUCUUUCCAAUGGACAGAAGAAUUAAGAAAAAUGUUGGAGACGGGUUAAACCUCCCCUGUGGGACAGCUCUGGUAAAGGCCCUUUCCUGAAUGGGAUUCCCCAAGGCCUUGAACUGCAGAGAUGUGGGGUGUGUGUGUGUGUAUGUGUGUGUGUGUUACAUACAUAAAUGCAUGUACACAUAUACAUGCAUACACAUACACAUACAUCUGUGUAUUACAUUUAUACACAGCCAUAUCACAGCUUGACCAGGUGGUCGGCAGUGCAAAAAGAGGUGUCAGAAUUUCGACUAGAACUUUGCUUGAAUGAGGAGCAGGUCCCAUUCCACCAACAGUGGCUAUAAACUAAUCCUUUAGAAACCCGAGAGUCCCUACUUCUGGAUGUUCUGAUAGAAGGAAGGGGCCCAGAACCAACAAUUCCUAAAUAGUCAUCUCUAACUAUUUUAGCAAAAACCCCAAGGCCUUGUUCUUGAAACAUCUAUUUCCACCCUCCCCCUCUAUACUUGGGCUCAUUUUUGUAAACCCACUUUAUUCCUCUCCCAGCCCUUGCAAUUCAAAGGGGCUUUCUCUCCCUCCCCCACACUCUCUUUGGUUGAAGUGUUAACUCAUCUUCACUUGUGACAGGAUGUAUUCAAAUUAAAUGUUCA